rnacentral:rRNA from 1 species
UGGGGAAUCUUGCGCAAUGCGCGAAAGCGUGACGCAGCAACGCCGCGUGGGGGAAGACGGCCUUCGGGUUGUAAACCCCUUUCAGUUGGGACGAAGCUUUGCCGGUGAAUAGCCGGUUGGAGUGACGGUACCUUCAGAAGAAGCCCCGGCUAACUACGUGCCAGCAGCCGCGGUAAUACGUAGGGGGCAAGCGUUGUCCGGAAUCAUUGGGCGUAAAGCGCGUGUAGGCGGCUUGAUAAGUCUGCUGUGAAAGUCCAGGGCUCAACCCUGGAAUGCCGGUGGAAACUGUCAAGCUAGAGUCCGGAAGAGGCGAGUGGAAUUCCUGGUGUAGCGGUGAAAUGCGCAGAUAUCAGGAGGAACACCGGUGGCGAAGGCGGGUCUCUGGGCAGUAACUGACGCUGAGGAGCGAAAGCGUGGGGAGCGAACAGGAUUAGAUACCCCUGUAGUCC